UCUUUUUUGGAAUGAGCCACGCGGCACGCCUCGCAUGUUAAUGGCUCGCGCUUUGAGCGCAGGAAUGCGGCUCGUGGGAACGCACGGGCUCUAUUGAUGGCGCACAGGUCUGUGUAAGCGCUGAUUAGCAUAAAACCAAGCCAAAUGAAGGCACGAGGGCUCCGCGCUCUCUUUCACAGCGGACAGAGGAGGGAAAAGGGUCUCGCUGCGCGAGCCUGGUGGAAAUGGGCUGUGCGAAGGUUUGCAUUAAAGAAGCUAAACUGCUAGCAGCGAUGAGGAUCAACAUCAGCCUGCAGAUGGAAACAAGGGUGGGUGGUUGGAAGGCUGGAUGAAGGCUGGUGGAUGACUGAACUCCGAGACCUGGAAUAGCUCAUCAUUAUUGCCACAGGCUCUCGUCUUCCUCCUCUCCUCCUGUGGCCCCGACCUCCAUCCAGGGGUCCAGCGGCGCCAGCGGAGCCCGAGCGGGGAACGAGUGAGUGGGCUGGGAAGGAUGG